rnacentral:ncRNA from 1 species
AGAGUAAGAACACGUUCGUUAUGCUGCGGGGGCAGAUAUGCUGUCUCCGUACAUUGAAGUGCCGGCCGUACGGGGAGUUGACGGUCAGACGAAAAGCAUACAGCUUGCGGUUCGUGUUCUGCAUCCCGCU